rnacentral:rRNA from 1 species
AUUGAACGCUGGCGGCAUGCUUUACACAUGCAAGUCGAACGGUAACAGGCCUUCGGGUGCUGACGAGUGGCGAACGGGUGCGUAAUGCAUCGGAACGUACCCAGAGGUGGGGGAUAACGCAGCGAAAGCUGUGCUAAUACCGCAUGUGAUCUGAGGAUGAAAGCGGGGGACCGAGCAGCAAUGUUUGGCCUCGCGCCUUUGGAGCGGCCGAUGUCGGAUUAGCUAGUUGGUGGGGUAAAGGCCUACCAAGGCGACGAUCCGUAGCUGGUCUGAGAGGACGACCAGCCACACUGGGACUGAGACACGGACCAGACUCCUACGGGAGGCAGCAGUGGGGAAUUUUGGACAAUGGGCGCAAGCCUGAUCCAGCAAUGCCGCGUGCGGGAAGAAGGCCUUCGGGUUGUAAACCGCUGUUGGCAGGAACGAAACGGUGUCCGCUAAUACCGGGCGCUAAUGACGGUACCUGCAGAAUAAGCACCGGCUAACUACGUG